AUAUGGAUAGUGACCUGGGUGUCUUAUUAAAAUGAGGACUUUGAUUUAGGAGGUCUGGUGUGGGACAUAAGAGUCUGCAUUUCUGACAAGCUUUCAGAUGAUGCUGAU
rnacentral:pre_miRNA from 1 species